UUUAACCUUUUGUUUUAAUACAACUGCAUACAUUUAUUUUAUAUACAGAGUUAAUUUUAAUACGUUAUUUUUCCGUGAGACGGAACAUAAACUAGCUUUAGUGAGUCCCAUUAAUAAACUGGCAGGCUGUACAUUAUCUUGUGACGUUAUACUUUUAGUGAAAUCUGAAAUUCCAAAACAUCAGAACUGCAUCAUUUAUUGCACGUAUAUGGCUUUAUUUUUUGAUCGGAUUAAUUCAAUAUGAUAAAUAUGGGCGCGAAGAUCUACACUGCUUCGGUGCUUUUUUUACAUACGGGACAUUUCAGUCGUCGUGUUGGUCGAUUGAAAGAUAUGAAAAACGCGCAUGAAGCACACAAUUAUGGUCUUUUCUCUGUUCAAUACAAGAUAAAGCCACAGGUAAGACUUACAAACCUGAUUAUGUUUGUUUUAAUCUAUUAAAUGACGGCCAUUCUAAUUUAGAAAUGAGUUUCAUAGUGCAUUGUUGUCGCUACCAUUUAAAAAAAGUUACAUAUUUCUAACGUGUUGCAAAUUCUCCUCCUGAACAAUAACGUUGAAUAUUCGUUUGUUUUAGUAUAUGUGGUAACUUAAGUGUGUAAAAGUAAAGUUGUUAAAAUGUUAUAGAGGAUUCUGAAGCAGCGCGCUUAAAUGUUAAAGCGGUUUAAAACAUUCUGCAUUUUUUAAACUUAUUUUAUAAUGGUAAGUGAAAACUGACGAUUUCAUAUAUGGCCGUAGGCUGUCUUUAAUCGAAUCAUUUCGUGUAGAAACUGUGGCGCGAAGAUCAACGCUGGGUCAGUGCUAUUUCACAACCGGGAGAUUUCAUUCGUCAUGCUGUUGGCCAUUUGAAACACCACGCUUGAAGCAUACAGUUAACGUUGUUCUUUUCUCAAGUCAGAGCAAGAUAAUGCCACAGCAAACCAUCGACAGAAUGCUGUUUAAAGUGCAGUACCAACAUCACAGAAAGUACAUAAACCUUACUGGAUCGUCUUAUGAUUCUGUAAUCAAGGAUGUUAAGCAGAAGUUUGACAUCUGACGAGCAGACGAGACUGGAACAGAAGUAGAUGAUGUUUUUGCUGACAUUAUUGACCAAAAGCCUGACACUUUUGAUGGUAGUUGAUUCUGUAGCAGACUCUCCUGCACACAGAAGCUGUCAUCUUCAUUCAGUUGCAUCAUCGUCAGACACAUAGCCAUCAGACAGCGAUGGUCCUUUCUUCCCACCUAAAAGAGCUCAUUCUGAUGACCAUUUGCAAGAAGCUAAGGAGCUUGUGAAAAGUGUUUUAGAAAAGCCUGCUGGGAUAUUUCAGAACACUGCCACAGCAGUCAAGGAGACUGGGACAGUGAUAUGUCUUCCCUGUUAUUGCUUGUGUAUCCUGCCACCACCUUCUAUUGGAAAUAAGAAGUCUGUCAAGAAUAGUGUGUGUGAAGCUUUGGAUCGUGUAGUAAGAUUUCACAAGUCCUCUUGCGGUUUUGAAGUCCUUGGAUCAACACAGCCCUACAUCUUGACAGUUGGCACUUCAAAAAGUAACAUCCUUGACUACUACAUUGCUGCGGAAGAGCGGCUCAUUCCCUGCAUUACUAAGUCCUCUCUCUCA